AGUGAACGCUGGCGGUAGGCCUAACACAUGCAAGUCGAACGGCAGCACAGUAAGAGCUUGCUCUUACGGGUGGCGAGUGGCGGACGGGUGAGGAAUACAUCGGAAUCUACUUUUUCGUGGGGGAUAACGUAGGGAAACUUACGCUAAUACCGCAUACGACCUACGGGUGAAAGAAGGGGAUCUUCGGACCUUGCGCGAUUGAAUGAGCCGAUGUCGGAUUAGCUAGUUGGCGGGGUAAGGGCCCACCAAGGCGACGAUCCGUAGCUGGUCUGAGAGGAUGAUCAGCCACACUGGAACUGAGACACGGUCCAGACUCCUACGGGAGGCAGCAGUGGGGAAUAUUGGACAAUGGGCGCAAGCCUGAUCCAGCCAUACCGCGUGGGUGAAGAAGGCCUUCGGGUUGUAAAGCCCUUUUGCUGGGAAAGAAAAGCAGCAGGUUAAUACCCCGCUGUUCUGACGGUACCCAAAGAAUAAGCACCGGCUAACUUCGUG
rnacentral:rRNA from 1 species